rnacentral:rRNA from 1 species
CAAUAAGCGGAGGAAAAGAAACUAACAAGGAUUCCCCUAGUAACUGCGAGUGAAGCGGGAAAAGCUCAAAUUUAAAAUCUGGCAGUCUUUGGCUGUCCGAAUUGUAAUCUAGAGAAGUGUUGCCCACACUGGACCGUGUAUAAGUCUUCUGGAAUGAAGCGUCAUAGAGGGUGAGAAUCCCGUCUUUGACAUGGACUCCCAGUGUAUUGUGGCGUGCUCUCAAAGAGUCGAGUUGUUUGGGAAUGCAGCUCUAAAUGGGUGGUAACCUCCAUCUAAAGCUAAAUAUUGGCGAGAGACCGAUAGUGAACAAGUACCGUGAGGGAAAGAUGAAAAGAACUUUGGAAAGAGAGUUAAACAGUACGUGAAAUUGUUGAAAGGGAAACGCUUGAAGUCAGUCACAUUGGCCAGGGAUCAGCCCAGCUCUUUUGCUAAGUGCACUUCCUGGUUUGAUGGGCCAAUAUCAGUUUUUGACUGCCAGAGAAGGGCAGAAGGAAUGUGGCACCUUCCGGGGUGUGUUAUAGCCUUUUGUCAUAUAUGGCAGUUGGGACUGAGGAAUGCAGCGCGCCCACAAGGGCCGGGUUUCGACCACGUUCGCGCUUUGGAUGUUGGCRAUAAUGGCUUUAAUCGACCCGUCUUGA